rnacentral:rRNA from 1 species
CGGAUCGGGAGAGAAAGCGAUACCGUGGGUAUCGCGCUCCUGGAUGGGCUCAUGUCCUAUCAGCUUGUUGGUGAGGUAACGGCUCACCAAGGCUUCGACGGGUAGCUGGUCUGAGAGGACGAUCAGCCACACUGGCACUGCGACACGGGCCAGACUCCUACGGGAGGCAGCAGUAAGGAAUAUUGCGCAAUGGGCGACAGCCUGACGCAGCGACGCCGCGUGGGGGAUGAAGGUCUUCGGAUUGUAAACCCCUUUCGGCAGGGAAGAUGGAACGGGUAACCGUUCGGACGGUACCUGCAGAA